AUUUACGUCUGAAAGAGAACGCGCAUCAAGUCCAACUAUGGUGCAUGAACCUACGUGACAAUGCAGCUUCUGGCGUCCAGUGGCCUACAGAGUGCACGUUGACAGUUAACAAUUGCAGUUUGCCGAUAAGUCCAACAGGAUCUGCAAGCAGUCAUGGUGAUUGUAUUUCAAAUAGCAAAAUGAAAGGUGAUAACACUGUUAUCUUGAUGGGAAAUCUGCAAAGGAUCAUGACUACUUUUUUGGAGUGAGCUUGGUCAAAGUACAAUCACUCGAACAGGUCUUGGAAAAAAUUGUUGUCGAACCUUUGGAAGUGGCUGUAAACCAUAGUGUUCCGGUACCUGGUGUGGAAAUGCUAACAGCUAAAGUCAGCUUAACCUGUCCAUUUAAUCAUUCCAGAAUUACACACCCAGCGAGGUUCAAACAGUGCGGACACUUGCUUGACUUAAUAAAGUUUCUGCAAUACGCGCAAGCAUCUAAGAAGCUAGUGAAGUGGGAAUGCCCAGUUUGCAGAAAGAGAUACUCAUUUACAGAUCUGAUAUCUGAUGGCUAUUUAAUGCCAAUUCUUGCUGCAUUACCCGAAGAAGUGAAUGAAAUCGAAGUCCAACACGAUGCUUCUUGGAGGUUAAUCGGAAGGACUACUUGGAAUAAGCCUGGGCCUCCUUAUGUUAUUGACCAGUAGGAGGUGGGAGGAGAAGAUGGAGUGGUGCAUAUCCCUUCUGAUGAAGAGACUCAAGGUGUUGCAUCUGCUUCCGUGGCACCUGCUUACACGGCAUCUACUUCAGAAACUAAAGAUGUUAAUCCACUUGAUGAUAGCUUGAAGGUUUUGGAAAGUCAAUAUGUUGCAUCUACCGGAGGAGGUGGAGUGGUGCAUGUCUCGUCUGCUGAAGAGAUUCGAGAUGUUGCAGCUGCUUCUGUGGCAUCGGCUUCCGUGGGAUCUACGUCUGAAACUAGAGAUGUAAGACCACCUGAUGAUUCCUUGAAGCUGCUGGGAAGACAGUAUGGAGGAGAUUCGGAUUCUGACUGAGAAACGGAGCUUGCACAGCACUAUGGGUACCAGAAGGCAAUUUCAGAGAAAUGACCUUCCACUGUGAUGCAUCUAUGUAGAAAGUUUAUAUUUUAGCAGCUGAACACUAAGGAUAUCUCUCUCUUUCAUACUCCUCGUUUUCACUAAUCACAUGUAUAUGUUCCUUUUCUUCUGUGAUUGAACGGGUUAUUAGUAGUAACCCAUCUUCUUCUGUGACUGAACGGGUUAUUAGUAGUAACCCAUAUAUGUUUUUUUCGAAUUAUAUAUAGCCUUAUAUGCCAA